AUGGACAUAAAGAGAUACUUAAGCAAAAGGGGCUACCAGCGUCUAGACUAUGGCACAACCAGCACCGGCCAACGGAAGAAGAUGCAGAUCAUACGGAUGAGAGGUCCACAUAGAGAUUGGAGGAUCAGAACAAGUCCAAAGCUGAGAUGGAUGAUAAGAUCACCAUUGAAGUUGGUGAGAAAGAUUCCAAAGACUCGUCAAAGGUCUUCUAAAGGUUAUUCUGGUGAUGCAUUUGAGGCCAGGCUUAUAUUUGAGAUUUCCAAGAAUUUGGUCGCUUCUCAUGAACUAUAUUCCAUAUAA